CCUACGGGGGGCUGCAGUCGAGAAUCUUUCGCAAUGGCCGAAAGGCUGACGAAGCAAUACCGCGUGAAGGAAGACGGCCCUCGGGUUGUAAACUUCUUUUCUUAAGGAAGAAUUAGUGACGUUACUUGAGGAAUAAGCAACUGCUAACUUCGUGCCAGCAGCAGCGGUAAUACGAAGGUUGCAAGCGUUAUCCGGAAUUAUUGGGCGUAAAGAGUCUGUAGGUCGUUUACCAAGUUUCAAAUUAAAACUCUAAGCUCAACUUAGAGUGAGUUUGAAAAACUGAUAAACUAGAGAUCGGGGGAGGUAAGCGGAAUGGCUGGUGUAGUAGUAAUAUGCAUUGAUAUCAGCUAGAACACCGAAUGCGAAGGCAGCUUACUAAAACGAUCCUGACACUGAGAGACGAAAGCGUGGGUAGCGAAUGGGAUUAGAUACCCCGGUAGUC
rnacentral:rRNA from 1 species